UACGUAGGGUGCAAGCGUUGUCCGGAAUUAUUGGGCGUAAAGAGCGUGUAGGCGGCCUGAUAAGUCCGCUGUGAAAGCCCAGGGCUCAACCCUGGAAUGCCGGUGGAUACUGUCGGGCUAGAGUCCGGCAGGGGAGACUGGAAUUCCUGGUGUAGCGGUGAAAUGCGCAGAUAUCAGGAGGAACACCAGUGGCGAAGGCGGGUCUCUGGGCCGAUACUGACGCUGAGGAGCGAAAGCGUGGGGAGCGAACAGG
rnacentral:rRNA from 1 species